rnacentral:rRNA from 1 species
GAUGAACGCUGGCGGCGUGCCUAAUACAUGCAAGUCGAACGCACUGAUUUUAUCAGUGAGUGGCGAACGGGUGAGUAAUACAUAAGUAACCUGCCCUCAUGAGGGGGAUAACUAUUAGAAAUGAUAGCUAAGACCGCAUAGGUGAAGGGGUCGCAUGACCGCUUCAUUAAAUAUCCCGUAUGGAUAGCAGGAGGAUGGACUUAUGGCGCAUUAGCUGGUUGGUGAGGUAACGGCUCACCAAGGCGACGAUGCGUAGCCGACCUGAGAGGGUGGACGGCCACACUGGGACUGAGACACGGCCCAGACUCCUACGGGAGGCAGCAGUAGGGAAUUUUCGGCAAUGGGGGAAACCCUGACCGAGCAACGCCGCGUGAGGGAAGAAGUAUUUCGGUAUGUAAACCUCUGUUAUAAAGGAAGAACGGUAUGAAUAGGAAAUGAUUCAUAAGUGACGGUACUUUAUGAGAAAG